CUUGACAAUCAAAGCCC
rnacentral:rRNA from 2 species